CCGUCGGUUUCCCUAAAAACAAAUACUACCAUCUCGUUCUUCACUGGCGAUCAAAGACGCCUCAUUCCUCAUCCGUCGAUCGCCUCCCUCCUCCCUUCACCGACCACUUCUACCUCUUCCUUAUCUCUAUUGAACCAAUCCGCCGUUUGAUGUAAAAGAAUCAUUUAAACAAUACUCCGAUGAUGGGAUCCAUAUAACAGCCGAUCAACUUUGAAAGUUUAUUGAGGAGAUCAAUUGCCUCAAUUUUAGAUAUUGAGCGUAUACUAGAGCAGGUUCUUCACAAAAGGCGUCCAAUUACUUACUUCCUUCUAUCGCCGCAUCGCCUCUUCGCUCACGUUCUUCCUCAUAGAGUUAGCAAAUUUUGAUAUGGAAGUAAACACGGUAUUUCACCCCCAAUUUAUCUAGAUCCUUACCACUUCCAUAUCUGGAUCCAUCUCAUAUAGUCUCCUAAUUAUCUAGAUCCUUAAAUUAUCAUCGCCUCCACCCUUCCAACGCCUAACAUCAGUCAUGAUUAUGUCAUCUUAAGGUUUCAAUAUCAAAUUUCACUUAUGUGUUGAAGAUCGAAAGGAGAUGAAGGUGAAAGUUGUUCGCGAGAUGUUUUCUCAUAAACAGUUAUCUCCAACGUCUUUGUCUGUCUGACAUUUGCAAUCAAAUUUAUUAUUAGCUUCUGUGACCUUGUAAUCGUCAGGAUCAGUCAUCGCCUCAUCGGUGUACGGGAAUCAAGUGAUCCAAACAACAAGAAGACAUAUUUUCCCUCCGACUGAAACCGACACAGAAACUGAUUCAGACUCUGAUGAUGAUCAUGAAGAUGGUCACAUUGAGUAUGACGCCAAUUUUAAGAAAUGGAUUACUUUGUGGAUACAUACAUAUUAUUUCAGUUUCCAUUUAAAGAAAAUAAAAAUAAAACAACUUUUGUUCUCUACUGGGAGGUUUAGCAUUUUUAUAACAUAAAAAAUGAAAUUUCACUGCCUACUUCUUUGUCAUAAAUUAGGCAAAGUUUAGCUUCAUAUUUCUCUUCUAUUCCUUCACUUUAUUUUAUCAUUAUACAGAUAAUUGUACACCAUUCAUUGAAUCUUUAUUUCUUUUAUAUCACCACAUUUACACAAAGAAACUCAUUAUAAUGGAUUCUCUCAUUGAUAAUUAUUUGAAGCCUUAUUCAUAUAUGUCGUUUGGAGGUUAUUCUUGAUAUUCUGGAAAUGCUAAAAAAACCUGAUGUCAAUAAUGCUUCAUUAAUUUGGAUUCCAGGUGUGUAGUCUCAAUUAUCUUCAAAUUUCUUAGUUUUUUAAUGAUUUUUAUAAACACGUUUUAUAUUCUCCUAUAGCUGCUUUAUGAAUUGUCUUUGGAUCCCCUCAUAUUAAUUUAAAUUUCAGGGUUUUAGAUGCGGCCUUAUCCGACAAGCAUGUCAAUAUGUUGAUUUUUUAUGGAAUCGAUUAUCUAACACCGUUAUCAGGAGUGCUAAACCAAUCAUGGUUGCAUAUGGUCAUCUUGGUUAUAUUUAAUCUAUUCUUGCAUGGCUAUUUCAAAUUUGUGGCUUUUUUUACAAUCCACUCAUAAUCAUUUGUAAUGCAUUCUUCGUUUCGUCAAGGUUGGAGAUGGCUUUGGAUUCUUGUGUGGAAUUUUGUCAUCUGUCUAAGAAAGUAUAUGAAAUCAAGAAUAGUUGGGAUCUUAGGAAGGAAGGUGGCUAAAAAGAGCAAAUUUUUCUUCAAAAAAGGUGAAAUCGACCAAAUUUAGGCACCAUCUUUCCCAAUGCUGCAGUUUUUGUUGUUAUAGGGUCUUUAUUUUGACCUUUAUUGAAUUUUCUUCUAUGUGGAACCCUUUUUCCAGGAGUCAUAUCUCCCUUGUAGAAAACGACUUUUUCCAGGAAUCAUACAUCCCUUGUAGAAAACGACCUCAAAAAUAAGAAUUCUUAAUUCUAAAUCUUUUAAAUUUGGGUUUCUCUAUGAGCAAAUUCUUCAUUUCUUUUUAUUUUCCUGGUUGUUUUAGUACACCAUUUUUUAAAGGUUAUUAUUUUACUUUUUUUUUUUAUCAUAACGGUGUUGGAUUUAAAAGCUAGCUAUUUUACCUUUCCUCCUUCAGAAACAACUACAACCCUAGAAAAAUAGGGGAAGAUGUUGUAGAAAUCAUCCUUGUAGUAUUUAUUCAUUAUAUACGUGUAAAAGCUUAAUCAAUUUUAUGUAUCUGUACAUCAAUGUCCAUAUUUUAAUAGGGGAUGAUGUUGUAGACAUCAUCCUUGGUAAUUUUCAAUGUGUGAUUCAUUGAUUUAUCCUUUAUAUUCUUCAAAUUUUCAUAUCUAAUGUGUUUUAAACUUCCUUUGGUGUAUAUUCUUAGGGUAUGGGCUUGAAGAUAUCUAUAUCUGUCACCCCUAUCUUUGUAUUAGGGUAUUUUAUUACACACCUUUUAAAUUUGAAGGAUAUUGAAUGAGUUGACACAUCUAGAUGCAGUUCACUUUGCUUAAUUUCCAUUUCUAAUGGUUUGCAUUCCAGAUAAGGGUGAUUAUGCUAUUGAUACAUUAUGGUGUAUCUAUUUAUCAUGUGUGCCAUGUUAAUAG